AUUGAACGCUGGCGGCAGGCCUAACACAUGCAAGUCGAACGAGUUGCGGACGGGUGAGUAAUGUCUGGGAAACUGCCUGAUGGAGGGGGAUAACUACUGGAAACUGUCGCUAAUACCGCAUACCAUCGGAUGUGCCCAGAUGGGAUUAGCUAGUAGGUGGGGUAAAGGCUCACCUAGGCGACGAUCCCUAGCUGGUCUGAGAGGAUGACCAGCCACACUGGAACUGAGACACGGUCCAGACUCAUACGGUAGGCAGCAGUGGGGAAUAUUGCACAAUGGGCGCAAGCCUGAUGCAGCCAUGCCGAGUGGAUGAAGAAGGCCUUCGGGUUGUAAAGUACUUUAAGCGGGGAAGCGUUACCCGCAGGAGAAGCACCGGCUAACUCCGUGCCAGCAGCCGCGGUAAUUC
rnacentral:rRNA from 1 species